GAAAUGCGAUAAGUAAUGUGAAUUGCAGAAUUCAGUGAAUCAUCGAAUCUUUGAACGCACAUUGCGCCCUGUGGUAUUCCGCAGGGCAUGCCUGUUCGAGCGUCAUUUAACCACUCACGCCUGGCGUGGUAUUGGGGCACGCGGUCUCGCGGCCCUCAAAAUCAGUGGCGGCGCCGGUGGGCUCUAAGCGUAGUACAUACUCCCGCUAUAGAGUUCCCCCUGGUGGCUUGCUAGAACCCCCCAAUUUUUACAGGUUGACCUCGGAUUAGGUGGGGAUACCCGCUGAACUUAA
rnacentral:misc_RNA from 1 species